AAAUUGAAGAGUUUGAUCAUGGCUCAGAUUGAACGCUGGCGGCAGGCCUAACACAUGCAAGUCGAACGGUAACAGGAAGCAGCUUGCUGUUUCGCUGACGAGUGGCGGACGGGUGAGUAAUGUCUGGGAAACUGCCUGAUGGAGGGGGAUAACUACUGGAAACGGUGGCUAAUACCGCAUAACGUCGCAAGACCAAAGAGGGGGAC
rnacentral:rRNA from 1 species